rnacentral:rRNA from 1 species
UACGUAGGGGGCAAGCGUUGUCCGGAAUCAUUGGGCGUAAAGCGCGCGUAGGUGGCCCGGUCAGUCCGCCGUGAAAGUCCAGGGCUCAACCCUGGAAUGCCGGUUGAUACUGCCGGGCUGGAGUCCGGAAGAGGCGAGUGGAAUUCCUGGUGUAGCGGUGAAAUGCGCAGAUAUCAGGAGGAACACCAAUGGCGAAGGCAGCUCGCUGGGACGGUACUGACACUGAGACGCGAAAGCGUGGGGAGCAAACAGG